CGUUCGAACGAUUUCCACACGUGGCGUGUCCCGGUUGGUCGUUGAACGACUACCUAUACAAUAACAACAAUAAUCGUCUUUACGGCCAUCGAACAUUCCCGACGACCAAUGAACAGUGGUCAAUUGCGCGCCAUGGAACCUGUUCCUGUUUCUUCCCAUUUCCCAACCUCCAUCAACUCUAAUAUUUACAAGUACUUACUCGACGUGUAGGUACAUAAACAUGUUUUCAGAUGAGGACCUUAGACCAUAGUCAGGGCCGUACGAAGAAAUGUUUGAUCCAGUGUUGCCAUUUUUAGAGGUAGAAAAUGAAAAAAAGGUAGUGCAAUUACGGGCACGAAACGGCACCCUUAAGCAAGAUGUCAUGCACGGCCCUGAGUGCAGCAGACGGUGCCGACUUUCGAUAGUUCGGUUUACUACCACGCUAUAUCGUGGCGCGGACUGUACCUAUGGUGUUCUAUGGAGUAAAGUCGAAGAUUUGCGCGCAAUAUGUCCCUCGAUUCCUUCUUCCAGCGUUAUACAAGCGGCGAAAAGAAGUGAUCUCAUGUUUAAAAGAGACGAGCGAUGAUAUCGUAUUCGACGGCAGAGACGAUCUCAUAGAGCACCAUUAUAAAAACCCUUACAGCUAUGUGUGUGCGUUGAAUGACUUAAUAUUAAGUUGGACACGUGCAACAAGGAAACCGCUUCGUCUUGAUCGUUAUUACAAAUAAUAUUAAGCCCCUUUGCAUUCUAAUCGGGUCGCUAUGGCGAUACAUAUUGUAUACAUACGUAUGUACAUGAUAUGUGU